UACAUGUGGGGCAAGCGUUGUUCGGAAUUACUGGGCAUAAAGGGUGCGUAGGUGGCUUGUUAAGUCAGGGGUGAAAGUUUUCGGCCCAACCGGAAAAUGGCCUUUGAUACUGGCGAGCUCGAGUGCGUGAGGGGUAACCGGAACGAGCAGUGUAGCGGUGAAAUGCGUAGAUAUUGCUCGGAAGGCCAACGGCGAAGGCAGGUUACUGGUACGCAACUGACACUGAGGCACGAAAGCGUGGGGAGCGAACAGG
rnacentral:rRNA from 1 species